ACGGCUCAGUAACACGUAGCUAAUCUACCCUUAAGUCAAGGAUAACCUCGGGAAACUGAGGAUAAUACUUGAUAAGAGAUUUACCCUGGAAAGAUUUAUCUCAUAAAUUCGAGCUUAAGGAUGAGGCUGCGGCGGAUUAGGUUGUUGGCGAGAUAAAAGCCCACCAAGCCGAUGAUCCGUAAGGGCUCUUAGCGGAGAGGCCCUGAGAGGGAAUCUGAGACACUAUUCCCAGCCCUACGGGGUGCAGCAGGUAGGAAUCUUUUGCAAUGCGCGCAAGCGUGACAAAGCGAGCCAGAGUGCUUUUCAAUUGAAAAGCUUUUGCUAAAUCUAAAAAUUUUGGCGAAUAAGGACUGGGUAAGACUAGUGCCAGCCGCCGCGGUAAUCCUAGCGGUCCAAGUCGCAGCCAUCAUUAUUGGGUCUAAAACAUCCGUAGCUUGCUUAAUAAGUUCCUUGUGAAAUCUUAACUCUUAAGGUUAAGGCGUGCAAGGAGUACUGCUAAGCUAGAGACUGGAAGACGUAAGAAGUAUGUUCAAAGUAGCGGUAAAAUGUGUUAAUCUUGAGCAGACUCACAACAGCGAAGGCAUCUUACGAGGACAGUUCUGACAGUAAAGGAUGAAGGCUAGGGGCGCGAAGUGGAUUAGAUACCCAUGUAGUCCUAGCAGUAAACACUGCGCGCUAAACAUUAGUACCUCCUCG
rnacentral:rRNA from 1 species